rnacentral:rRNA from 1 species
AUUGAACGCUGGCGGCAGGCUUAACACAUGCAAGUCGAGCGGGGUGAUGGUGCUUGCACUAUCACUUAGCGGCGGACGGGUGAGUAAUGCUUAGGAAUCUGCCUAUCAGUGGGGGACAACAUCUCGAAAGGGAUGCUAAUACCGCAUACGUCCUACGGUAGAAAGCAGGGGAUCACUUGUGACCUUGCGCUAAUAGAUGAGCCUAAGUCGGAGUAGCUAGUUGGUGGGGUAAAGGCCUACCAAGGCGACGAUCUGUAGCGGGUCUGAGAGGAUGAUCCGCCACACUGGGACUGAGACACGGCCCAGACUCCUACGGGAGGCAGCAGUGGGGAAUAUUGGACAAUGGGGGGAACCCUGAUCCAGCCAUGCCGCGUGUGUGAAGAAGGCCUUAUGGUUGUAAAGCACUUUAAGCGAGGAGGAGGCUACUCUAGUUAAUACCUAGGGAUAGUGGACGUUACUCGCAGAAUAAGCACCGGCUAACUCUGUGCCAGCCGCCGCGGUAA